CACAGGGAGAGGUCACCAGGGACCGAGGCUCCAUGUGACGAGCACCAGGGUGAGAAAGGACAGGCUAAUGAUGGCCAAGUCGGCACUCAGCCUGGCCACAGGGAAAGAGCUGGAGAACAUGAAGGGAAGAGAGAAGAAAAGGCAGUGGAAAGAGUUUUUCCCACCAUGGCAAAAAUAAUUGGGACUACAUCUGAGUAAACAGAUAAGACCAUUAGACUGGGAAAUGUUCUUAACCAGAGAUUGGACAAGGUCUCUGCACCCCUGCUGAACAGGGGCCUGCACACCUCCGCCACAGAUGAGGGAUACAGGGCUCUCCUUCUUUGUCUCCUGUUUCUGCCUUCCUCUCAGCUGGCUUCCUUCUCAGAUGGGCUCACCAAAUGCUCUCAGAAGUUCUGGCUUUGCAACCACAAUGGAGAAAGUGCCCCCUCAUUUCCAGUAGGUUUAGAAAAAUUGGGAGACUGAUGCUCAUCGAAUAGUUUAGGUCACAACCACCAAGGAGCUAAGCCACUGAGUGGAACAUGUUGACCAAUCAGUCCGUCCUUAGAAGUCACUGUGAAGAGGCAUCAGCCCCACCCAAAUCAUGAGCACGAAGGGAUAGAAAGCAAAGGGACACCACCCAAAGGCACACUGGGGUGUUGUUCCCAGAAGAUGGAUGUUGGGCAGGUAACAAGAAAGAAUGUCUGCUAUACCCUUGUCUCCCUUCAAAGAAACCCUUGUUUUAAGUUAG